rnacentral:rRNA from 1 species
GGAGGAAAAGAAACCAACAGGGAUUCCCUUAGUAACGGCGAGCGAACGGGGAAGAGUCCAGCGCCGAAUUUCACGUUCCUUGGUGGACGUUUGAAAAAUGUGGCGUUUAGGAGGGAGCGUGCCGGAGGAAGGCCCUGUGGCAAGUCCCCCUGACAGGGGCUGUUGCCCAGAGUGGGUGCAAGGCCCAUAGUCGCAGGGCCUCUUUCGGAUGCGACCUCUUGGGAGUCAGGUUGCUUGGGAGUGCAACCCUAAUCGGGUGGUAAACUCCACCUAAGACUAAAUACUGCCGUGAGACCGAUAGCAAACAAGUACCGUGAGGGAAAGUUGCAAAGAACUUUGAAGAGAGAGUUCAAGAGUACGUGAAACUGCUCAGAGGCAAACGGGUGGGCCCUCGAAAUCCUGUGGCAGGGGGAUUCAGUCAGGAGAGGCGGUGGUGGGCGACAGUGCCACGGACCCCUUACGAGGCCGGCCUGUCUCCACGGUCACCGUUUCGCCUGACGCAUUUCCUCCUGCACGACGGACGCCGCAGCCGGUUGGGUAGCAGCGAGAGUCGGUCAUGAGGGCGGACGCGGCAGUUGACCGGUGGCGUGGCUUCGGCCGUGCCGCCGGUUGUUAGCCUGUCCGCCCGUGACGCGACACCCGACCGAGGUUUCGAUUCCUUUUUGGGAAUUUGCCGCCCUCCUCUUCAUGAUGCGAGCUUGCCGACAGGCGUUGCGUUGCCGCUGACUCGUCACUCUCCGUAGUGGCCGUCACGUCAAAGUCGCCGUUGGUUGUCAUACGCCUCGCCGAGGAAAGCAGGUGGCUGGCGGCGAGUAGGUCGGUCACCCACCCGACCCGUCUUGAAACACGGACCAAGGAGUCUAACAUGUGCGCGAGUCAUUGGGUCUUGAUUAGGCCCAGAGGCGCAAUGAAAGUGAAGGUCGGCACACGCCGCCCGUGUUGGGAUUCCCUGCCUCGCGCAGGGACGCACCAUCGACCCGUUCUAUCCGAUUCAUCGGUUGGGCGGAGUCUGAGCGUACACGUUGGGACCCGAAAGAUGGUGAACUAUGCCUGGGCAGGACGAAGCCAGAGGAAACUCUGGUGGAGGUCCGUAGCGGUUCUGACGUGCAAAUCGAUCGUCAGACCUGGGUAUAGGGGCGAAAGACCAAUCGAACCAUCUAGUAGCUGGUUCCCUCCGAAGUUUCCCUCAGGAUAGCUGGCGCUCGGAGGAAUCAGUCUCAUCCGGUAAAGCGAAUGAUUAGAGGCCUUGGGGCCGAAACGACCUCAACCUAUUCUCAAACUUUAAAUGGGUGAGAAGUCCGGCUUGCAUGACUGAAGCCCGGACGUUUCGGAUGUGAGUGCCUAGUGGGCCAUUUUUGGUAAGCAGAACUGGCGCUGUGGGAUGAACCAAACGCCGGGUUACGGCGCCCGAUGCGAGACGCUCAUGAGACCCCAUGAAAGGUGUUGGUUGCUAUAGACAGCAGGACGGUGGCCAUGGAAGUCGGAAUCCGCUAAGGAGUGUGUAACAACUCACCUGCCGAAGCAACUAGCCCUGAAAAUGGAUGGCGCUCCAGCGUCGAGCCCAUACCCGGCCGCUGCGGCAGCGAGACUCUGAAGGAGCCUUACGCCGCAGUGAGUAGGAGGGUCGCAGCGGCGAGCGUUGAAGGUGCCGGGCGUGAGCCCGCCUGGAGCCGCCGCUGGUGCAGAUCUUGGUGGUAGUAGCAAAUACUCAAGUGAGAACCUUGAGGACUGAGGUGGAGAAGGGUUCCAUGUGAACAGCAGUUGAACAUGGGUCAGUCGGUCCUAAGGGAUAGGAGAAAUCCGUUCCGAAGCGAGACGUCCCGUUUGCGUCUGUCUCGCUGCUGACCGAAAGGGAAUCGGGUCAAUAUUCCCGAACCCGGACACGGAGAUAGGGCCUUCGGGUCCAAGUGCGGUAACGCAACCGAACUCGGAGAUGUCGACGGGAGUCCCGGAGAGAGUUGUCUUUUCUUUGUAAGGGUUCGGAUCCCUGGAAUCGGCUCGUCCGGAGAUAGGGAUGCUGUUCCCGUAAAGCACCGCGGCUCUUGCGGUGUCCGGAGCGCUCCUGUCGGCCCUUGAAAAUCCGAGGGAGAAAGUGUGAUUUUCGUGCCGGACCGUACCCAUAUCCGCAGCAGGUCUCCAAGGUGAACAGCCUCUAGUCGAUA